UUGCUUCAGUAGCGCAUGUACUAAAAUUGGAACAAGACAGUGAAGAUUAGCAUGGCUCAUGCAAGAGGAUGAUAUGCAAACUUGUGAAACAUUCCAUAUUUUU